UACGUAGGGUGCGAGCGUUAAUCGGAAUUACUGGGCGUAAAGGGUGCGCAGGCGGUGCGCCAAGCUCGAUGUGAAAGCCCCGGGCUUAACCUGGGAAUUGCAUUGAGGACUGGCGUGCUCGAGUGCGGCAGAGGGGGGUGGAAUUCCACGUGUAGCAGUGAAAUGCGUAGAGAUGUGGAGGAACACCGAUGGCGAAGGCAGCCCCCUGGGCCGACACUGACGCUCAUGCACGAAAGCGUGGGGAGCAAACAGG
rnacentral:rRNA from 1 species